rnacentral:rRNA from 1 species
AUUGAACGCUGGCGGCGUGCUUAACACAUGCAAGUCGUACGCGAAAGGGACUUCGGUCCCGAGUAAAGUGGCGCACGGGUGAGUAACACGUGGAUAAUCUGCCUCUAUGAUGGGGGAUAACAGUUGGAAACGACUGCUAAUACCGAAUACGCUCAUGAUCAACUUUGUGAGGAAAGGUGGCCUCUGCUUGCAAGCUAUCGCAUAGAGAUGAGUCCGCGUCCCCAUUAGCUAGUUGGUGGGGUAACGGCCUACCAAGGCAACCGAUGGGUAGCCGAUCUGAGAGGGAUGAUCGGCCACACUGGGAACUGGAAACACGGUCCAGACUCCUACGGGAGGCAGCAGUGGGGAAUAUUGCGCAAUGGGCGAAAGCCUGACGCAGCGACGCCGCGUGAGGGAUGGAAGG